ACCUCGGUGGUGUAGUGGUAGCACUCGUUCCCGGUAUGGAUAAAACGCGCGUUCGACUCCCGCCUGAGGUC